GAGGAUGUAGCUCAGUGGUACAGUGUUUGCUUAGCAUGCACAAGGCCCUGGGUUCAAUCCCCAGUACCACCA
rnacentral:tRNA from 1 species